UACGAAGGGGGCUAGCGUUGCUCGGAAUUACUGGGCGUAAAGCGCACGUAGGCGGCUUUCUAAGUCGGGGGUGAAAUCCUGGAGCUCAACUCCAGAACUGCCUUCGAUACUGGAAAGCUCGAGUCCGGGAGAGGUGAGUGGGAACUGCGAGUGUAGAGGUGAAAUUCGUAGAUAUUCGCAAGAACACCAGUGGCGAAGGCGGCUCACUGGCCCGGUACUGACGCUGAGGUGCGAAAGCGUGGGGAGCAAACAGG
rnacentral:rRNA from 1 species